AAACGUUGUAGAUUUGUAGGAAAAUGCAAAGAUGGUACUGAGUUCCCAUAGCCAUGGAUCCUGUGUCUGCUGUUGCUAGCAUCCUGUGUAGUAUGCUGCCAUUGCCGUAUUGUUGACUCGCUGCACGGCAUGGCAUUCAGAGCUCUGGCUGUUCCCUGGUGUCCCAUUCUGUCUCCCCCUCAGAGUUCUCAAGUACCUCUGCGAUCACGUCUGCUGAGGUGUCUCCUCACCCUGGCACUUCACUUUCUUAGUUUUGAUGGCCUUGAAGUUUUUAGGAAUAUUGAUCAGAUGUCCAGCUCCUGUAAAGUAUGUAGUAUGUUUCUCAGUAUUGCAUGAGCUCAUAGGCUUGAGGGAGAAGAUUACAGAAGAGAAGUACCAUUUUCACAGCGUCUGAAGGGGUGUGCCAUGCUGUGCUGACUUGGAACGCCUGUGGGGUUCUCCACUAGGAAUGUGUCCCUCACCUGUUCUGUGGCAGUAGAGCAGGAGAGAGAGAAGAAAGGAAGAGCAGGCACAGAGAAUUAUUUAGGGCAGACAAGUAUCAGAAUACAGCCCUUGUAGUUCUUUAUGGUACCUGCCUCCCUCACAGUUUACCUUUGGAGCACAUCUGAAGCACAUGCAGGUCCCUCAUGCUAGAUGUGCAGUUGGUUUAUUUGAACCUGCCAUGUUUCUGUUCUAUACAUCCUCAAACGUGAUGAUUGAUUUUCAGAAAUCUUUUAGUAAAAAAAAAAAAA
rnacentral:lncRNA from 1 species